GGACUACCGGGGUAUCUAAUCCUGUUUGCUCCCCACGCUUUCGCACCUCAGCGUCAAUACGUGUCCAGUGAGUCGCCUUCGCCACUGGUGUUCUUCCGAAUAUCUACGAAUUUCACCUCUACACUCGGAAUUCCACUCACCUCUCCACGAUUCUAGCGAUGCAGUCUUAAAGGCAAUUCCAGGGUUAAGCCCUGGGCUUUCACCUCUAACUUACAAAGCCGCCUACGUGCGCUUUACGCCCAGUAAUUCCGAACAACGCUAGCCCCCUCCGUAUUACCGCGGCUGCUGGCAC
rnacentral:rRNA from 1 species